CUACGGGCCGCUGCAGUGGGGAAUAUUGCACAAUGGGCGCAAGCCUGAUGCAGCCAUGCCGCGUGUAUGAAGAAGGCCUUCGGGUUGUAAAGUACUUUCAGCGGGGAGGAAGGGAGUAAAGUUAAUACCUUUGCUCAUUGACGUUACCCGCAGAAGAAGAACCGGCUAACUCCGUGCCAGCAGCCGCGGUAAUACGGAGGGUGCAAGCGUUAAUCGGAAUUACUGGGCGUAAAGCGCACGCAGGCGGUUUGUUAAGUCAGAUGUGAAAUCCCCGGGCCCAACCUGGGAACUGCAUCUGAUACUGGCAAGCUUGAGUCUCGUAGAGGGGGGUAGAAUUCCAGGUGUAGCGGUGAAAUGCGUAGAGAUCUGGAGGAAUACCGGUGGCGAAGGCGGCCCCCUGGACGAAGACUGACGCUCAGGUGCGAAAGCGUGGGAAGCAAACAGGAUUAGAUACCCCAGUAGUC
rnacentral:rRNA from 1 species